UGGGGAAUAUUGCACAAUGGGCGCAAGCCUGAUGCAGCAACGCCGCGUGAGGGACGACGGCCUUCGGGUUGUAAACCUCUUUUGGCAGGGAAGAAGCGAAAGUGACGGUACCUGCAGAAAAAGCACCGGCUAACUACGUGCCAGCAGCCGCGGUGAUACGUAGGGUGCAAGCGUUGUCCGGAAUUAUUGGGCGUAAAGAGCUCGUAGGCGGUUUGUCGCGUCUGCUGUGAAAACCCGAGGCUCAACCUCGGGCCUGCAGUGGGUACGGGCAAACUAGAGUGCGGUAGGGGAAAUUGGAAUUCCUGGUGUAGCGGUGGAAUGCGCAGAUAUCAGGAGGAACACCGAUGGCGAAGGCAGAUCUCUGGGCCGUAACUGACGCUGAGGAGCGAAAGCAUGGGGAGCGAACA
rnacentral:rRNA from 1 species